rnacentral:tRNA from 1 species
GGUGAGGUGUCCGAGUGGAUUAAGGAACAUGCUUGGAAAGCAUGCAUAUACAACAAGUAUAUCAAGGGUUCAAAUCCCUUCCUCACCG